rnacentral:rRNA from 1 species
UACGGAGGGUCCAAGCGUUAUCCGGAAUCAUUGGGUUUAAAGGGUCCGUAGGCGGUUUUGUAAGUCAGUGGUGAAAGCCCAUCGCUCAACGGUGGAACGGCCAUUGAUACUGCAAGACUUGAAUUAUUAGGAAGUAACUAGAAUAUGUAGUGUAGCGGUGAAAUGCUUAGAGAUUACAUGGAAUACCAAUUGCGAAGGCAGGUUACUACUAAUUGAUUGACGCUGAUGGACGAAAAGCGUGGGGGAGCGAACAGG